rnacentral:rRNA from 1 species
GACGUAGGGCGCGAGCGUUGUCCGGAUUUAUUGGGCGUAAAGAGCUCGUAGGCGGUUUGGCAAGUCGGAUGUGAAAUCUCCAGGCUCAACCUGGAGGGGUCAUUCGAAACUGCUAUGACUAGAGUUCGGUAGAGGAGUGUGGAAUUCCUGGUGGAGCGGUGAAAUGCGCAGAGAUCAGGAGGAACACCCGUAGCGAAGGCGGGUCUCUGGGCCGGAACUGACGCUAAGGAGCGAAAGCGUGGGGAGCGAACAGG